GUCGAAGAGUGAAAAAUACAGACUUUCAGAGAAUAUUUUAGCUGUUUACUAUCAAAUAUGUUUGUGAAACAGUUGAUAAUCUUACUGAGGAAGGCCAACGGUUUCUGAAAAGCUAAAGUAUGUCGAAAUCCAGCUUUGGAAUAGACUAUAUUUUCACCUGGGAAACAUGAACUAAAUGGAUAUUUACAUCAACACUAGAUUUUGCUCGUGCCUACAGAGCUAGUUGGAUUAAAACAGAUGUUAAGAAGUAAG